rnacentral:lncRNA from 1 species
CCCCCCAAAAAAAAAAAAAGAAAGCAAGAAAUGGCUAUUACUACCGCUAAAACUCAAAAGUCACAAUUUGGGCAACAUUUCCCCGUCGAUCUUUUCCCCUUCUGGUGAGUUCCCACAGGGAGGAGAUUCGCCCGUGAACUCGCAGCUCAGCCAUUUCUCCGUGCUCACCGCACCGAGGUUUUCAGCGCUAGCAGCAAACCCACGGAAGCGCUCUGCAAGGAGAGGCUGUGACAGGGAAAGCGGGUUUCUCCAUGGAUGCCAACACGAGCGAUGCUCUCAGCCUAACUCUGACAGCGCGGCUCGGAUGCUAUUACAGCUUGCUCUUGUGCAACACCAGAACAUGCAAAACUUGUGGCCAAAACUUUUACUAGGGAGCAGUAAUCCACUGAUGGCAUAGGGCCUGGAUGAGCCUGGAUUUGCCGUUUUCCUCCCAUUUCUAUGUUACAG